UAAAACUCGAAACACUCUCUCCUCCUCAAGCCCAACAACCAUCAAGUUUUUAUCAUG
rnacentral:ribozyme from 1 species